rnacentral:rRNA from 1 species
UUUGUUGGUAGUAUCGAGGACUACCAAGAUUAUAACGGAUAACGAGGAAUUGGGGUUCGACAUCGGAGAGGGAGCUUUACAGAUGGCUACCACUUCUACGGAAGGCAGCAGGCGCGUAAAUUACCCACUUUCGACG